CCAUGGCACAUAGAGGCUCCCAGGCUAGGGGUCUAAUCGUAGCUGUAGCCACCGGCCUACGCCAGAGCCACAGCAACUCAGGAUCCGAGCCAAGUCUGCAACCUACACCAUAGCUCACAGCAACGCCGGAUCCUUAACCCACAGAGCAAGGCCAGGGAUCGAACCUGCAACCUCAUGUUUCCCAGUCAGAUUCGUUAACCACUGAGCCACAACAGGAACUCCAAAACUAUGUUUUCUUUCCUCUUCUCUGCGCAUGAGAAACAAGAAUACUUGGGGGUGACUCUUGUUUGGCUUAACCUCGACAAUAUAUCAGGGUAAGGGUGGGAAAGGAACUAUUUUGAGCACAGAAGUGUUAUUUUCACACAGGUUGUCCCAUAAGACAAAGUCCUGUGAACUCAGACCCGUGUCCUAUGGAGCAGAGUCCUGGGGCGAAGAUGCCUAUAGACUCAUUGAGCAGCAUUGGACAGUCCUGGGCAGCACUGCUUUCACUGUGUGGUAGGAUGCUGGGAGCUUUGUGUUGGCAUUUAUUAAAUAUCUGAUAUGGACUAUGUGGACUCAGAUCCUGGCACAUGGAAAGUGCCAGAUUAAAUACUGUUUUUCAUUAACAUUAUUUUUUUUUCAGUCCUCAUAAUCACCCCAGGAGGUGAAUAUAUUAUUCUUAUUUUACAGGUGGUAGCAAGAGGUGAGGCAGUGUUCCCAUGUGAUAUGGCUGGUGUGUGGGAGAGAAAGAUGCUAAUCUCUGUGCUCUGAUCUGAAAUUCCAUAAACUGAUAGCACCCUGAACAGUAAACUUUGUUCAUCAACAGCAUCAAAUAUAUCAAACAGGCUGAAAUUUAGAUACACUGUCAAACCUUAGGUUCAAGCAAGGCUGUGAAGUAUUGACUGUAUAUUCUGGGUGGUCGGGGUCCAGUUGACAAAUCCAGGAAAAAUGGAAAAGAAGAGAAAACAGGGAAAAUAGCCACCUUGCCAUACAACAUGAACCAGAAUCUUGCCCUCUGUAAGUGCAAGGCUGAUGCUUCUGUCCUGAGAUCUCUUCCAAGAAAGUAACUUCUUACUUUCCUAUCAAAGCAAAAGUUCAGCAGCUGGAGACCAAAAAGAGAAUGAUUCUUGAAAAGGUAACCAAGAAGAGUUAUGUUGGCCUCAAGAAAUUUACUUGUGGAGUUCCCAUUGUGGCACAGCAGAAACAAAUCUGACUAGGAACCAUGAGGUUGUGGGUUUGAUCCCUGGCCUCACUCAGCAGGUUAAGGAUCCAGCAUUGCCAUGAGCUAGCUGUAGCUGCCAGCCUGCGCCACAGCCACAGCAGUACCAGGUCUGAGCCGUGUCUGUGACCUACACCACAGCUCUUGGCAACACUGGAUCCUUAACCCACUGAGCAAGGCCGGGGACUGAACCUGCGUCCUCAUGGAUGAUAGUCAGAUUCAUUACCACUGAGCCACGAUGGGAACUCCAGGAAGAUGCUUUUUUAGUCACAGAAGACUGUCAAUACUUCCUUAAUUUUUAUCUCAAUAGCAACUUAAAUCUGCAACUCUUGGGAGAUUUGGGGGGAGGGGCUAAACUUUGCUUUUUAUUUCAUUGGGAAAGGCAUAUUUAUGCCUGCUUAGCUCCAAUCAUAGCAGAGUUGAAAGAACCCUCAGCCUUGCAGCUUUUAACCAUGGCCAACCCUUCACAACCCAGCUUCUACUUUCUAAGGUGGAAUGAGAUAAUGCACAAUGUUCAUCCAGGCUUGGCCCUUCCAGCCAUAUGAAACUUUUCAUCUGCUGGGAUCCAGGAACUCUUGAUUUAAAAUGCAUUGAAUUCCUGCUUGGAGAGCAAGUUAAACCCAGCUUGGAUAUUUUAUUUAACCUUCAGCUAGCUGGGAGAAACCCAGUGCCAAGUCUGAACUCACACCAGGAGCAUUUUCUAGUUCUAUAUCGGUACUGACAGCAAGUCUGUUGGACUGUAUGGAAAUGAGACUGGUAUAUUCAGAACUCUGUUGUUAUCUUGGACAAGAUAUAUUUAUCUUUGCUAAGUCUCAAUACCAUUCAUUCACUCACUUGUUCAAGGAACUUUUUGACACCGACUGAGAUAAUAAUUGUACAAAGCAAACAAACACCACAUGUAGCUUUCGAGCACAGCUGUAGAAUAAGAAUGUUGAACUGGAUGAUGACAGAGGUUGCUGCCAGAUCUGUUGACAAGUGGAAGAUUCUGUGAGUAGGAUAAGUUGGUAGUUUUUUUUUUGUUUUGUUUUGUUUUUCUCUUUCUCUCACACAGACUCCCCUGGACCUGGUCUUGUUCUGUUAUGGAACUCAGAGUGGUAGGGAGGAAAACAGCAGCGUGUAGUUUGGGCAAGUUCUCCUCUGUCCCCAGUGGUCUCUUUGUGCUUUGAACCUUGUCCUUACUCUGACUACCCUCCAUCCUCUCCUUUACUUGCUUACUAAACAUCUCCACAGUAAGUGCCCCUUUCCCCGGCAAAGCAAACGUCAAAAGCAGUUGACCCAAAGAACAGACAAAAACCCAGCACCUUGUUCACUGGGUAGCUCAACCCUCCAGACUGAGAUUCUUCAUAUCAGAUCAGUUUUCAUUAAAGUAUUAACAUAUUUCUCAGGGGAUGUAGUGUGUCUGCAGGACAUCUGAAAAGGGGUGCGGAAUUAAAGAGUUCUGUGUACAACUGCAUCUGCUUCAAAUUAUGCUCUACAAAAGACAAAAAUACAGCUCUAUAAGUCUAAAAAUACUUCUUAGUUGUUAGCCAAAAAUGCAUUUAUUCUUGGAUUCAUAAAAAUUUAAGCCAUGUGAAAUAUGCAGGGGGCAUGCACUCUCGUAAAAAAUUGACCAAAGAAAGAGAAGGAAAAGUUAAAAUAAACUUUGAAAAUCCUUUAUUGAAAGGAAAGAGAGAAAGUAAGACUUUGGGGGUAUGACUAGAAAGAACUGGGAAAGUUUGCCCUGAGGGAAAAUUAACACUUCUGAGGACCCUACACCCCAACGUCUCCCCAGGAAGACUAUGUGCAGCUGUGAGCCAGGCUCCUCACUCUCACCAUUUAAGGGGAGACUAGUAAAGCCAGGGUCAAGGACCCACAACAACCCCAAAUCUCAGCAUUGUGGUCAGUGCAAUGCUUCUCAAAGCAUCUAGGAUUUGGAAACAGUUUUUUUUUUUUUCUUUCCAAUCCAGAAUUAGUCAAUGUUUUUAAAGGAAAUACAAUUAGAAUAAAUUGUUUUAAAAAAUGAAAUAAAAAAGACAAAUAAAAUGAGCCCCAAGGAAUUUCCCCUGUGGCACAGCAGGUUAAGGAUCCAGUGUGAAGCUGUCUCUGCAGCUACUUGAUUCACUGCUGAGGCAUGGGUUCAAUCCCAUGUGCAGUGGGUUAAGGAUCUGGCAUUGCCCGGGACCUUCCAUAUGCUGUGGGUGCAGCCUCCCUCCCCCAAAAAAUAAGCACCCAUUUUUUUAUUACUAGACUUGACAAACAUAAAAUUACAUUUCAAAAUUAUAAAAAAAAUUACUAUAAAAAGUUUCUAAGCAUGCAGUCUGUAUAUCUGUACUAUUUCAAAGUAUAUCAGUAACGAGGCACCACACUUUGAAUGGCACUGGUGCAUCAGGGUGAGAUCUGAGAGAUUUGCAGUCCAAUUCAAUCACAAGUGAAUAGUAUCCCCUGGGGCAUUAUUUGAUCAUUCUGAGCCUCUGCUAUCUCAUCUGCAAAAUGGAAUAACACUUUUUUAUGAGGGCAAGAAAGCAUAGCUAUACCAUACUUGGAAGGUAAGAAUUGAGUAAAUGCUACCAGGACAUAAUAUUUCCAUCACCAUCUAUGUUAGUUUCCUAUUGCUGCUGUAGUAAAUUACCACAAACUUAGUGGCUUAACACACAUGUAUUCUCUGAUAGUUGUAGAGGUCAAAAGUCUAAAAUGGGUUUCUCUCAGCUAAAAUCAAGCCACCUCCUAGAGGCUCUAGAUGAGGAUCCAUUUCUUGCCUUUUCUUCCUCCUAGAGGCUGCUUGCUUUUUUCAGUUUGUGGCCCUUCCUCCAUCUUCAAGCAAAUUUAUAGCAACUUUAGAUUUCUCUCUGACUUUGACCUCUUCUGCCUCUGUUUUGCAUUUUAAAGGAUCUUUGGUAUUACAUUACAUCCACCUAGAUAAUCCAGGAUAAUCCCCUUAUUUCAAGGUCAGCUGAUUAGCAACCUUAAUUCCACCUGCAAACUUAGUUCUCCCUUGCCAGAUAACAACAUAUUCAUAUUGAACAUAGUCAAGUUCCUGGAGAGUAAAAUGUGGAUAUCUUUGGGGGGGAGGUAUGUGAUAAUACUGCUUACCCCAUCAUCAAACAUCAUUCAUUCAACUGACAUUUUACUGUCCUUCAGAAUUAUCAUCUUUAAAGGACCCCAGUAGCCACUUCAUUCAUAUCCAAUCCAACAGUCAAGGAAGAAGCCUGAGAGUCAGUUAUGUGGACUGGGAGAAGCCAAGCAUUAUUCUUGAACACUAAUAGUAUCACACACAGGAGGCAAGUCUCCUUUAUCCCAUAAGAUCUUUAAAUCAUCCAGGAAGAUGCUGAGGUGUUUUGGACAGGGAUGUUAUUCCCCCAGUCAAAUGAGAAAACUGAAGCUCAGAGUGUUACUUGCCCAAGGCCAUAUUGGAUCCAUCUUCCACAACUUACUAGCCAAAUCUGGCACUUUUUUCACAAAACCAGCUUACUUUAUUUUUUCCAGUUAAUAAUAAAAGGCCUUUUAAAGGGUGAAAGUCUGUGGUCAAUGAGGAGGAAAAAAAUGAUAUAAUACUCUUGACUAAAUCAAAUAUUCCUUUUGAGGAAAAGUAGUUUAUAUCCUUAGAUUUGGUCAAAGAAAUUUAGUAUAAAUUGAAAGCACAUGAACUUGAAGAGUGAGUUUACCAUGUGCCAAGCACUGUUCUAAGGGGUGUGCAUGUAUUAAUUUGUUAAUCCUCACAAGAGCCAUUAGAGCAGAUACCAUUAUUACUCACAUUUUAUGAAUGAGGAAUUGGAGAUACAGAGAGGGACUAGCUUACCAAAAGAGAAUUCACUCCUGCCAGCACUUCUGGGAAUCCCAUCUAAUAAUAACACCACUAACAGUAAAGAUAUCUGCCAUUUAUUGCAUGCUUUACAUAGAGUUUUCUUACUCUGUUUUCUUAAUAAUGCUAAGAAGUAUUUCUCUCACAGAUGAAUAAACUAAGACUCAAAGUUCAAGUAGCAUGGCCACAAUCUCCUGACUUAUAGGUGAUAGAUCUCAAACAG
rnacentral:lncRNA from 1 species